rnacentral:lncRNA from 1 species
UUGAUUUCUCAUACAUACAACCAAAAUGCCAUCCCUCAAAUACAUUACAUUUCUUUACAAAAGGGUUUUACAUAUCAUUCUUUCCUUUUUAUACUCGAGGGUAGUGAGCUAACGCCGGUGGUCCACUCUAUCUACUGCGCGACGCCCUUGCCGCGAUCCUCGACACACGCGCUCGAACUAGGCUCUGCAAAACAGGGUGUGAGAACUAUUAUCCUGUAACCCCCGAGAUCUCUGUAGAAUAUUGAGGAUUUUAGCCAAAUCGACUAAAGUACUCAAGAGAAAUGGUCGGACGAAGUCUAUUUAACAUUCCAACAGUGUUGGAAGGGUUAAAAGUGAGUUCCAACGAGGUUCGAAAGGUUUUAGCAUUGCUCGGCGUGAAUUGGAGUCGAAACAAUGCGAGAUUGAAGUUCGGGAGCAUUCGGGCGUUUCCGGUGCGCGUAGGCGUGAAAACGGGACCCGAAAGGCUAUGUUGGACCAUGAGCUAAAUCCGGCAUUAGCGUGGAUGAAAAGAUGAUGAGAUCGUGCUCGAAAACAUGUUUAUAGAGCCUCGGUUCGAUUUGAGAUGAAUCGGAGGUCAAACGAACGAAAACGAGCGAAAACGGAGAAAAAGCUGAAAAAUUGGCUAAGUCCUGAAAAAGUGCCCGUGUACCGGUGACACCCCUGGUGUGUACCGGUACGCAGUGUAAAAAUCCGAGAAGAGAGCUCUCGGGUUUGGCUGUUACGCAGGUCGUGUACCGGUGACAGCAACCCGUGUACCGGUACGCAGUAGACCCGACAGCAAAAAUGAGUCUGCUGCAAAUAUGAUUGGUUGGGGGGUUUAUUUGCAAUUGUUGCAAUAUAAUAAAUACCCCAAACCCCUCCCCCACUGCAGCAGCUCUCUCCCUCUCUCCCUCUCGUGUCUCUCUCUCCCUCUCAACCGGUUGCAAAGGGAAAAGAAAAGAGAAGGAAAAAGAGAAGAGAAGGAAGGAAAAGAGAGAAAAGCAAGGAGAAGGAGAAGAAGAUCUUCAUCUUCAUCCUCAUCUUCAUCUUCUUCCUCAUUUUGAAGCUUUUGGAGAGGUAAGUACCUUGCUCCUCUCAUGGUGGAUUUUGGUAGGAUGGGUUUUAAACCCUAAAGCUUAGAAAUUUAGAGCUUCUAAUAUGUUUAGAACCUUGUAAAGACCGAGAACCCAUGAAAUCCAUGGUGUUCUUCAUGAUGCUCUAAUGGUGGAUUUCUAGGGUUUGUUCUAAAUGCCCUAGAAAGGGUCCAAAUGGUUUGGAAAUGGGAUUAGAGAGCUUCUUGGGUAAUUCUAAGCUUGAUUAUGCUUAGCAACAAGAUCAAUCCCAAGAAAUCUCAUUAUUGCAUUGUUAGGGCACCAAAUUUGGGGCUUUUGCCUCCGGUUGUUUCUAAGGCAAAUUGACCUUGUAGAAACCUAAUUGGGGACCUAACGAACGCGUUGGUGCGCUCGGUUCGGCAAUCCGACGAGCGUACGCGAAGUUAUUGACGAAACAAUCGGUUUUGGUACAGAUAGCCGCAGCACGCGGAAUAAAGGUCUAAAAAUCAUGAGAUCGGAACCGGAGCACCUUGGAGUCAAGGAAUAACUUCCGGAAAAGACGGAUCGCGAUUUGGAGGUCGUUCGCUAAGUCGCGCAAGAGUUCGGGCCAAACCGGGCAACGGUUGCCGCGGGAGGCCGAUUGCAAGUGUCGACGAGCAAUCGGAACGCGUGUUAAGGUGGGUUGGUUUACCGAAGCGACUAGGUCGCCUUUAUGUCUAAGCGAAUUAAGAAUUCGUGUUGAUGCAUCNGCUUCACCACCAAGCAACUCCAAUUAGUAUUCUCUAAUCCUCUCUUAGCAAAUCCUCUCUUUAGCAAAUCCUCUUUUUGAUAAAGAGAAAGAGAGAGAGAAAGAGAGACCACAAGGACAAAGAGAGAAAGAGAGAGAAAGCCCACUCUCUCUUUCCUACGGUUUGGGAAAAAGGGGGCAAGGGUUCACUCACACUCAUAGGAAACUUGCCCUCCAAGUAAACCCUUGAUUUGCACAAUUACACUUUAGUCCCUCUCAUAACAUAGGGAGACUUGCCCUCCAAGUAAUCUCUUAUACAUAGGAAACUUGCCCUCCAAGUAAACUCUUUUACUUGCACCAUUACACCUUAGCCCCUCUCAUUUGCACAAUUACACCUUAGCCCCUCUCAUUUGCACAAUUACACCUUAGCCCCUCUCAUUUGCACAAUUUUCAUUUACACUUAUUUCUAUAUUACAAAUUCGGUACACUACAUCUAUAUAUAUAUAUAUAUAGAAUUAUGCUCCUAUACUAUUAAUAGUACCAAGUCUUUGGUACUAUUGAGUUUUUGGCCGUUGGAUGAAAGGAUGUGCGGUUAGGAUGAUAGUGGUCCCCUAGGGUUGAGUGGGUGGUUGGUUUAAUAGUAUAAUCUAACGGGUGAAAAUGAUCACAGAGUAGAUCUGACGGUAGAAAACUUUAUAGUACCAAAGGCUUGGUACUAUCAAUAGUAUAGUAGCCGGACUCUAUACAUAUAUAUAUAUAU